rnacentral:rRNA from 1 species
GGGCCCGCACAAGCGGUGGAGCAUGUGGUUUAAUUCGAUGCAACGCGAAGAACCUUACCUACUCUUGACAUCCAGAGAACUUUUCAGAGAUGAAUUGGUGCCUUCGGGAACUCUGAGACAGGUGCUGCAUGGCUGUCGUCAGCUCGUGUUGUGAAAUGUUGGGUUAAGUCCCGCAACGAGCGCAACCCUUAUCCUUGUUUGCCAGCGAGUAAUGUCGGGAACUCCAGGGAGACUGCCGGUGAUAAACCGGAGGAAGGUGGGGACGACGUCAAGUCAUCAUGGCCCUUACGAGUAGGGCUACACACGUGCUACAAUGGCGCAUACAGAGGGCGGCCAACUUGCGAGAGUGAGCGAAUCCCAAAAAGUGCGUCGUAGUCCGGAUCGGAGUCUGCAACUCGACUCCGUGAAGUCGGAAUCGCUAGUAAUCGGAUAU